rnacentral:rRNA from 1 species
UACGAAGGGUGCAAGCGUUACUCGGAAUUACUGGGCGUAAAGCGUGCGUAGGUGGUUGUUUAAGUCUGUUGUGAAAGCCCUGGGCUCAACCUGGGAACUGCAGUGGAAACUGGACAACUAGAGUGUGGUAGAGGGUAGCGGAAUUCCCGGUGUAGCAGUGAAAUGCGUAGAGAUCGGGAGGAACAUCCAUGGCGAAGGCAGCUACCAGGACCAACACUGACACCGAGGCACGAAAGCGUGGGGAGCAAACAGG